rnacentral:lncRNA from 1 species
GAGGACUAUUCCUUGAACUAAACAACUCCUUUUUUUAUUGUUUUUAUUUCCAGAACUAUCCCAGAAGUGGUUCCAGUAUUUGUUCACUUCCAUUUUUGGCCAAGAUAUGUCAGAAGAUUAAAUUCACUAUACAAAAUUCUGUGCCAUUCAAAGAUGUAGACUCAGACAAAUACAGUGUUUUUCCAGUAAGUAUUAUUACCAGAUAUUAUCUACAUAUUGCAUAGUUUUCUACACUUUACUUUAAUAAGAUGAGAUUGAGUUUCAUUUGAAUACAUUAUUAAUUUGAUGAACUGCAUACCAUUUUAUGAUUUUUAUGGACAUUUGGCAUCAUAAUAAUAUAUGGACCAUCAAAAUGAAUCUUAGGCUCAAAAAGUUUUUUUUAUUUUUUUCCAGC